rnacentral:misc_RNA from 1 species
GAUGAAGAACGUAGCGAAAUGCGAUACUUGGUGUGAAUUGCAGAAUCCCGUGAACCAUCGAGUCUUUGAACGCAAGUUGCGCCCGAAGCCAUCAGGUUGAGGGCACGUCUGCCUGGGCGUCACAUAUCGUUGCCCAAUGCCUAUUGCAGUGCAAUAGGAAUUUCUAGGGCGAAUGAUGGCUUCCCGUGAGCGUUGUUGCCUCGCGGUUGGUUGAAAAUCGAGUCCUUGGUAGGGUGUACCAUGGUAGAUGGUGGUCGAGUUAGAACGAUACCGAUCAUGUGCAUGCUCCCCAAAAUAUGGCCUCUAUGACCCACACGCGUCUUUUGACGCUAAUGACGAGACCUCAGGUCAGGCGGGGCUACCCGCUGAAUUUAAGCAUAUCAAUAAGCGGAGGA